rnacentral:rRNA from 1 species
GAUGAACGCUGGCGGCGUGCCUAAUACAUGCAAGUCGAGCGAACAGAUGAGGAGCUUGCUCCUCUGACGUUAGCGGCGGACGGGUGAGUAACACGUGGAUAACCUACCUAUAAGACUGGGAUAACUUCGGGAAACCGGAGCUAAUACCGGAUAAUAUAUUGAACCGCAUGGUUCAAUAGUGAAAGACGGUUUUGCUGUCACUUAUAGAUGGAUCCGCGCCGCAUUAGCUAGUUGGUAAGGUAACGGCUUACCAAGGCGACGAUGCGUAGCCGACCUGAGAGGGUGAUCGGCCACACUGGAACUGAGACACGGUCCAGACUCCUACGGGAGGCAGCAGUAGGGAAACUUCCGCAAUGGGCGAAAGCUUGACGGAGCAACGCCGCGUGAGUGAUGAAGGUCUUCGGAUCGUAAAACUCUGUUAUUAGGGAAGAACAAAUGUGUAAGUAACUAUGCACGUCUUGACGGUACCUAAUCAGAAAGCCACGGCUAACUACGUG